UCCACAAAUCCCCUGCUUAUCCCCCCUUAUAAAGACUCCUGUCCCAAUACAAAACCCCCGCCCCCUUCUACAAAAUCCCUGCAGCCCCACACACACAUUUACAGGCAGACAGUCACACACUCAGUUACAGACAGACAGUCACACACUCAGUUACAGACAGACAGUCACACAUACACAUUUCCUCCGUGCGGCCAGUUUAUCAGCUGUUUGCUUGAGUGAGCUGUACUGGCCGCACGGCACCCUAACUUCCAUGGGACACU